rnacentral:tRNA from 2 species
CAUUAGGUGGCAGAAAGUUUGCAAUGAAAUUUUAACUCAUAAGAUAAUAAAUUAACGAUUAUUUCUAAUGG